rnacentral:rRNA from 1 species
GUCAGGACGAACGCUGGCGGUGUGCUUCAUACAUGCAAGUCGAACGAUAAGGUCCCUUCGGGGAUACAUAAGUGGCGGACGGGUGAGUAACACGUAGAAAAUCUACCUCGAGGAAGGGGACAACAGUUGGAAACGACUGCUAAUACCCUAUAUGAGCUGGGCUGAAACGCCUAUCUUGAAAGUUCCGGCGCCUUGAGAUGAGUCUGCGUCUGAUUAGCUAGUUGGUGGGGUAAAUGCCUACCAAGGCGAUGAUCAGUAGCUGGUUUGAGAGGAUGACCAGCCACAAUGGGACUGAGACACGGCCCAUACUCCUACGGGAGGCAGCAGUAGGGAAUUUUGCGCAAUGGGGGAAACCCUGACGCAGCAACACCGCGUGAACGACGAAGCCCUUCGGGGUGUAAAGUUCUGUCAGUAGGGACGAAUUUUGACGGUACCUACAAAGGAAGCAUCGGCUAACUACGUGCCAGCAGCUGC